UGGAAGUUUGGGGUAAAGAACUGACUUCUGC
rnacentral:piRNA from 1 species